AUCAGUAGGUAAAGAACGGCCUAAUAUGUUGUAUAGAAAACACUAACGUGUAAUUUACGGAUUUGUGUUGUUGAUUUUUUUUAUUUGGGGGAGGGGGGGGGGGUGGUGGUGGUGGUGGUGAGUAAUUGGGCGGGUGUUGUUUUACAAUAUCAUUUACGGAUUUGUGUUGCUGGUUUUAUCUAUUUUUUAUAUUUGGGGGUGAUGGUGGAGGUGGUGAGUAGUUGGGUGGGUGUUGUUUUACAGUGUAAAUUACGGAUUUGAGCUGUUGAUUUUCUAUUUUUAUUUGAGGUGGUGGUGGUGGGUGUUGUUUUACAGUGUAAUUUACGGAUUUGAGCUGUUGAUUUUCUAUUUUUAUUUGGGGUGGUGGUGGUGGUGAGUGUUGUUUUACAGUGUAAUUUACGGAUUUGAGCUGUUGAUUUUCUAUUUUUAUUUGGACUGGUGGUGGUGGGUGUUGUUUUACAGUGUAAAUUACGGAUUUGAGCUGUUGAUUUUCUAUUUUUAUUUGAGGUGGUGGUGGUGGGUGUUGUUUUACAGUGUAAUUUACGGAUUUGAGCUGUUGAUUUUCUAUUUUUAUUUGGGGUGGUGGUGGUGGGUGUUGUUUCACAGUUUAAUUUACGGAUUUGAGCUGUUGAUUUUCUAUUUUUAUUUGGGGUGGUGGUGGUGGGUGUUGUUUUACAGUGUAAUUUACGGAUUUGAGCUGUUGAUUUUCUAUUUUUAUUUGAGGUGGUGGUGGUGGGUGUUGUUUUACAGUGUAAUUUACGGAUUUGAGCUGUUGAUUUUCUAUUUUUAUUUGAGGUGGUGGUGGUGGGUGUUGUUUCACAGUUUAAUUUACGGAUUUGAGCUGUUGAUUUUCUAUUUUUAUUUGGGGUGGUGGUGGUGGGUGUUGUUUCACAGUUUAAUUUACGGAUUUGAGCUGUUGAUUUUCUAUUUUUAUUUGGGGUGGUGGUGGUGGGUGUUGUUUUACAGUGUAAUUUACGGAUUUGAGCUGUUGAUUUUCUAUUUUUAUUUGAGGUGGUGGUGGUGGGUGUUGUUUUACAGUUUAAUUUACGGAUUUGAGAUGUUGAUUUUCUAUUUUUAUUUGAGGUGGUGGUGGUGGGUGUUGUUUUACAGUGUAAUUUACGGAUUUGAGCUGUUGAUUUUCUAUUUUUAUUUGAGGUGGUGGUGGUGGGUGUUGUUUUACAGUGUAAUUUAUGGACUUGAGCUGUUGAUUUUCUAUUUUUAUUUGGGGUGGUGGUGGUGGGUUUUGUUUUACAGUUUAAUUUACGGAUUUGAGAUGUUGAUUUUCUAUUUUUAUUUGGGGUGGUGGUGGUGGGUGUUGUUUUACAGUGACGUCUAGGUGCAUAAGACAGGGUGUUUGAUUUUGCAAUUUUCCUUUAACAAUGGUUAAACAUUACCCAUUGAUUGCAAACACCUUAAUUAGAAUAUUCACUUCUCUAUUGACUGAUUUGAAAAAAUGGCUUCAUCCGUGUUGUGUACUAUUACUAUUUGCAUCGAUUUGACCUAGAUUAUUCUAGAGAGUUUUGUUUACUCAAUGACACCUGUAACCUAGAUUGUUAUCAUUAGUAGAAAGAUGACGUAAUGGUUGCAUCAUUGUCUUCCAAGAUUGUACUAGAAAAUUCAUUCCUAUUAUAAAUACAUGUAUGCUGAAAUUCUUAUGAUAAAAGAAACUCUGGUUAGACACGUCUUAUGAUUGUUGGAUUCUAUUACACUGGGAACUAUGAUUUUGGAAUUACUAUUUUUAAGUGUGUAGAUUCUGUUCGGAUUUAUUGUGUAACUGCCAUAAAAUCCACUUGGUAAAUUUCGACCACCAGAAACAUGGAGAAACACGAGAAAAACCGGAGGACUCUCCUGUGCACCGACGCCAUUUUACAAGCAUGUCGCCUGCAUAAUCUAUUUUAAAACUGAUCAGUGUCAAGAGGCUCUCGCAUAAAGAGGAUACGUUUUGCGUGUAAAUUCUUUUCCCGUGUAGGUGAUCAAGCAAUAUGCCAAUGGGCAUGCGCUGUGAUUGUGGAGCCCGGUAAAUAGAAAAAAGUGUCUGAACUUAAAAGUUUAAAUUUAUGUAAAGGAUGCAAGUAUGGCUCUUUCUCCAUAGAAUGGAUAGUUUGAGGCUUAUAUCCUACUUAAAACAUUACAUCUUUUGUUUUAAGAAUGGACAGAUUCAGGUAAACCCAUUGACAAUGAUAAUUAUGAAUAAAGCUAUUUUUGAAUAAUCUGACGAUAUAACCAGUCUUGAGUGAAGGUCUCUUUCUUUUGUUCACUUAUUGGACAGUGUCAGGUAUAAGUAAUCUUGUUCUGCAGAUUUUAUAUUCAUUCACUCUGUAGUGCUGAGCCAUAUCAACAUGUCGUCCUCUGAUGGGGAGAGCAUUUUCAUUGCACAAUCAAAAUUUAAGGAUUUUAAUGAAAGUACUGGGGAUAUUAUCUUAAUGGGUGUUAUGUUCUGGAUAUGGUGGGCGAGAAAGUUAUGGAGCCUUUGAUCUGAAAAGCAUUGUGGUUUCCAAUAUUUGGACGAGGAAAUAAUUAACGCCAGCCAAAAGAACCCAAUACGCCCAUCUCGUGAAAUGCAAUGCAAUUAUUCAUGGAAGUGAACAGAAUUAGGAUAUGCUGAUAAAGAAAACAUAAAAAAGUUUCGAAAUGUGACUGGAUUUAGCGAAAUUCAGAUACAGCAUGGAAAUAUGUCUUUCAAAUUUAAGUUUUGAUGCGAUAUAUGCCAAUGGAAUUUAAAAAACUGUGAAUCUUAAAGUUGGAGCAGAGAAUUCUACUAAGAGGAUCCGGAAAUAUCGUUCUAAGUGUUUGAAUGAUUUUUCCGAUAUCUGUGUUGAUUCUUACAUGUUGGGAAUUUAAAAAUUAAAUUUGUAUCUCUUGAAAAAA